GACGAACGCUGGCGGCGCGCCUAACACAUGCAAGUCGAACGAGCGAGAGAGAGCUUGCUUUCUCGAGCGAGUGGCGAACGGGUGAGUAACGCGUGAGGAACCUGCCUCAAAGAGGGGGACAACAGUUGGAAACGACUGCUAAUACCGCAUAAGCCCACGGGUCGGCAUCGACCAGAGGGAAAAGGAGCAAUCCGCUUUGAGAUGGCCUCGCGUCCGAUUAGCUAGUUGGUGAGGUAACGGCCCACCAAGGCGACGAUCGGUAGCCGGACUGAGAGGUUGAACGGCCACAUUGGGACUGAGACACGGCCCAGACUCCUACGGGAGGCAGCAGUGGGGAAUAUUGCACAAUGGGGGAAACCCUGAUGCAGCGACGCCGCGUGGAGGAAGAAGGUCUUCGGAUUGUAAACUCCUGUUGUUGAGGAAGAUAAUGACGGUACUCAACAAGGAAGUGACGGCUAACUACGUGCCAGCAGCCGCGGUAAAACGUAGGUCACAAGCGUUGUCCGGAAUUACUGGGUGUAAAGGGAGCGCAGGCGGGAAGACAAGUUGGAAGUGAAAUCCAUGGGCUCAACCCAUGAACUGCUUUCAAAACUGUUUUUCUUGAGUAGUGCAGAGGUAGGCGGAAUUCCCGGUGUAGCGGUGGAAUGCGUAGAUAUCGGGAGGAACACCAGUGGCGAAGGCGGCCUACUGGGCACCAACUGACGCUGAGGCUCGAAAGUGUGGGUAGCAAACAGGAUUAGAUACCCUGGUAGUCCACACCGUAAACGAUGAUUACUAGGUGUUGGAGGAUUGACACCUUCAGUGCCGCAGUUAACACAAUAAGUAAUCCACCUGGGGAGUACGACCGCAAGGUUGAAACUCAAAGGAAUUGACGGGGGCCCGCACAAGCAGUGGAGUAUGUGGUUUAAUUCGACGCAACGCGAAGAACCUUACCAAGUCUUGACAUCCUGCGACGGUGCUGGAAACAGUAUUUUCCUUCGGGACGCAGAGACAGGUGGUGCAUGGUUGUCGUCAGCUCGUGUCGUGAGAUGUUGGGUUAAGUCCCGCAACGAGCGCAACCCUUAUGGUCAGUUACUACGCAAGAGGACUCUGGCCAGACUGCCGUUGACAAAACGGAGGAAGGUGGGGAUGACGUCAAAUCAUCAUGCCCUUUAUGACUUGGGCUACACACGUACUACAAUGGCGUUAAACAAAGAGAAGCAAGACCGCGAGGUGGAGCAAAACUCAGAACAACGUCCCAGUUCGGACUGCAGGCUGCAACUCGCCUGCACGAAGUCGGAAUUGCUAGUAAUCGUGGAUCAGCAUGCCACGGUGAAUACGUUCCCGGGCCU
rnacentral:rRNA from 1 species